UAGGGAAUCUUCCGCAAUGGGCGAAAGCCUGACGGAGCAACGCCGCGUGAGUGAUGAAGGUCUUCGGAUCGUAAAACUCUGUUAUUAGGGAAGAACAAAUGUGUAAGUAACUAUGCACGUCUUGACGGUACCUAAUCAGAAAGCCACGGCUAACUACGUGCCAGCAGCCGCGGUAAUACGUAGGUGGCAAGCGUUAUCCGGAAUUAUUGGGCGUAAAGCGCGCGUAGGCGGUUUUUUAAGUCUGAUGUGAAAGCCCACGGCUCAACCGUGGAGGGUCAUUGGAAACUGGAAAACUUGAGUGCAGAAGAGGAAAGUGGAAUUCCAUGUGUAGCGGUGAAAUGCGCAGAGAUAUGGAGGACCACCAGUGGCGAAGGCGACUUUCUGGUCUGUAACUGACGCUGAUGUGCGAAAGCGUGGGGAUCAAACAGG
rnacentral:rRNA from 1 species